rnacentral:rRNA from 1 species
UACGUAGGGUGCAAGCGUUGUCCGGAUUUAUUGGGCGUAAAGAGCUCGUAGGCGGUGUGUCGCGUCGGCCGUGAAAACCUGGGGCUCAACUCUGGGCGUGCGGUCGAUACGGGCAUCACUUGAGUUCGGCAGGGGAGACUGGAAUUCCUGGUGUAGCGGUGAAAUGCGCAGAUAUCAGGAGGAACACCGGUGGCGAAGGCGGGUCUCUGGGCCGAAACUGGACGCUGAGGAGCGAAAGCGUGGGGAGCAAACAGG